GACAGAGGGUGCGAACGUUGCUCGGAAUUACUGGGCGUAAAGCGCGUGUAGGCGGGUGAUCAAGUCAGGUGUGAAAUCCCCAGGCUCAACCUGGGAACUGCACUUGAAACUGGUCGCCUUGAGUGUUGGAGAGGGAAGCGGAAUUCCUGGUGUAGAGGUGAAAUUCGUAGAUAUCAGGAGGAACACCGGUGGCGAAGGCGGCUAUCUGGACGGUUACUGACGCUAAGACGCGAAAGCGUGGGGAGCAAACAGG
rnacentral:rRNA from 1 species